CCCUUAGAUGUUCUGGGUUGCACGCGCGCUACACUGAUGCACUCAACGAGUUUACGACCUUGCCCGAUAGGGUUGGGUAAUCUUUUUAAAAUGCAUCGUGAUGGGGAUAGAUUAUUGCAAUUAUUAAUCUUCAACGAGGAAUUCCUAGUAAGCGCGAGUCAUCAGCUCGUGCUGAUUACGUCCCUGCCCUUUGUACACACCGCCCGUCGCUCCUACCGAUUGAGUGCUCAGGUGAAUAAUUCGGACUGCAGCAAUGUUUGGAUCCCGAACGUUGCAGCGGAAAGUUUAGUGAACCUUAUCACUUAGAGGAAGGAGAAGUCGUAACA
rnacentral:rRNA from 1 species